rnacentral:rRNA from 1 species
ACUCCUACGGGAGGCAGCAGUGGGGAAUAUUGGACAAUGGGGGGAACCCUGAUCCAGCCAUGCCGCGUGUGUGAAGAAGGCCUUUUGGUUGUAAAGCACUUUAAGCGAGGAGGAGGCUUACCUGGGUUAAUAACCCGGGAUAAGUGGACGUUACUCGCAGAAUAAGCACCGGCUAACUCUGUGCCAGCAGCCGCGGUAAUACAGAGGGUGCAAGCGUUAAUCGGAUUUACUGGGCGUAAAGCGCGCGUAGGUGGCUAAUUAAGUCAAAUGUGAAAUCCCCGAGCUUAACUUGGGAAUUGCAUUCGAUUAACU